GUCCACGCCGUAAACGAUGGGCACUAGAUGCCGGGCCUAUAGACGGGUUCGGUGUCGUAGCUAACGCAAUAAGUGCCCCGCCUGGGGAGUACGGCCGCAAGGCUGAAACUCAAAGGAAUUGACGGGGGCCCGCACAAGCGGUGGAGCAUGUGGUUUAAUUCGAAGCAACGCGAAGAACCUUACCUGGGCUUGACAUACAGGUGAAAGCCCCUGGAAACAGGGGUCCUCCUUCGGGACGCCUGUACAGGUGCUGCAUGGCUGUCGU
rnacentral:rRNA from 1 species